AAAUUGAAGAGUUUGAUCAUGGCUCAGAUUGAACGCUGGCGGCAGGCCUAACACAUGCAAGUCGAACGGUAACAGGAAGCAGCUUGCUGCUUCGCUGACGAGUGGCGGACGGGUGAGUAAUGUCUGGGAAACUGCCUGAUGGAGGGGGAUAACUACUGGAAACGGUGGCUAAUACCGCAUAACGUCGCAAGACCAAAGAGGGGGACCUUCGGGCCUCUUGCCAUCAGAUGUGCCCAGAUGGGAUUAGCUUGUUGGUGAGGUAACGGCUCACCAAGGCGACGAUCCCUAGCUGGUCUGAGAGGAUGACCAGCCACACUGGAACUGAGACACGGUCCAGACUCCUACGGGAGGCAGCAGUGGGGAAUAUUGCACAAUGGGCGCAAGCCUGAUGCAGCCAUGCCGCGUGUAUGAAGAAGGCCUUCGGGUUGUAAAGUACUUUCAGCGGGGAGGAAGGUGUUGCGGUUAAUAACCGCAGCAAUUGACGUUACCCGCAGAAGAAGCACCGGCUAACUCCGUGCCAGCAGCCGCGGUAAUACGGAGGGUGCAAGCGUUAAUCGGAAUUACUGGGCGUAAAGCGCACGCAGGCGGUCUGUCAAGUCGGAUGUGAAAUCCCCGGGCUCAACCUGGGAACUGCA
rnacentral:rRNA from 1 species